rnacentral:rRNA from 1 species
GGUUAAGCGACUAAGCGUACACGGUGGAUGCCCUGGCAGUCAGAGGCGAUGAAGGACGUGCUAAUCUGCGAUAAGCGCCGGUAAGGUGAUAUGAACCGUUAUAACCGGCGAUUUCCGAAUGGGGAAACCCAGUGUGAUUCGUCACACUAUCAUUAACUGAAUCCAUAGGUUAAUGAGGCGAACCGGGGGAACUGAAACAUCUAAGUACCCCGAGGAAAAGAAAUCAACCGAGAUUCCCCCAGUAGCGGCGAGCGAACGGGGAGGAGCCCAGAGCCUGAAUCAGCAUGUGUGUUAGUGGAAGCGUCUGGAAAGGCGCGCGAUACAGGGUGACAGCCCCGUACACAAAAGCGCAUGUGCUGUGAGCUCGAUGAGUAGGGCGGGACACGUGGUAUCCUGUCUGAAUAUGGGGGGACCAUCCUCCAAGGCUAAAUACUCCUGACUGACCGAUAGUGAACCAGUACCGUGAGGGAAAGGCGAAAAGAACCCCGGCGAGGGGAGUGAAAAAGAACCUGAAACCGUGUACGUACAAGCAGUGGGAGCACAGGUUUACCUGUGUGACUGCGUACCUUUUGUAUAAUGGGUCAGCGACUUAUAUUCUGUAGCAAGGUUAACCGAAUAGGGGAGCCGGAGGGAAACCGAGUCUUAAUUGGGCGUUAAGUUGCAGGGUAUAGACCCGAAACCCGGUGAUCUAGCCAUGGGCAGGUUGAAGGUUGGGUAACACUAACUGGAGGACCGAACCGACUAAUGUUGAAAAAUUAGCGGAUGACCUGUGGCUGGGGGUGAAAGGCCAAUCAAACCGGGAGAUAGCUGGUUCUCCCCGAAAGCUAUUUAGGUAGCGCCUCGUGAAUUCAUCUCCGGGGGUAGAGCACUGUUUCGGCUAGGGGGCCAUCCCGGCUUACCAACCCGAUGCAAACUGCGAAUACCGGAGAAUGUUAUCACGGGAGACACACGGCGGGUGCUAACGUCCGUCGUGAAGAGGGAAACAACCCAGACCGCCAGCUAAGGUCCCAAAGUCAUGGUUAAGUGGGAAACGAUGUGGGAAGGCCCAGACAGCCAGGAUGUUGGCUUAGAAGCAGCCAUCAUUUAAAGAAAGCGUAAUAGCUCACUGGUCGAGUCGGCCUGCGCGGAAGAUGUAACGGGGCUAAACCAUGCACCGAAGCUGCGGCAGCGACACUGUGUGUUGUUGGGUAGGGGAGCGUUCUGUAAGCCUGUGAAGGUGGCCUGUGAGGGUUGCUGGAGGUAUCAGAAGUGCGAAUGCUGACAUAAGUAACGAUAAAGCGGGUGAAAAGCCCGCUCGCCGGAAGACCAAGGGUUCCUGUCCAACGUUAAUCGGGGCAGGGUGAGUCGACCCCUAAGGCGAGGCCGAAAGGCGUAGUCGAUGGGAAACGGGUUAAUAUUCCCGUACUUGGUGUUACUGCGAAGGGGGGACGGAGAAGGCUAUGUUGGCCGGGCGACGGUUGUCCCGGUUUAAGCGUGUAGGUGUGUGUUCCAGGUAAAUCCGGUUCACUUUAACACUGAGGCGUGACGACGAGGCACUACGGUGCUGAAGCAACAAAUGCCCUGCUUCCAGGAAAAGCCUCUAAGCAUCAGGUAACAUCAAAUCGUACCCCAAACCGACACAGGUGGUCAGGUAGAGAAUACCAAGGCGCUUGAGAGAACUCGGGUGAAGGAACUAGGCAAAAUGGUGCCGUAACUUCGGGAGAAGGCACGCUGACACGUAGGUGAAGUGAUUUACUCAUGGAGCUGAAGUCAGUCGAAGAUACCAGCUGGCUGCAACUGUUUAUUAAAAACACAGCACUGUGCAAACACGAAAGUGGACGUAUACGGUGUGACGCCUGCCCGGUGCCGGAAGGUUAAUUGAUGGGGUCAGCGCAAGCGAAGCUCCUGAUCGAAGCCCCGGUAAACGGCGGCCGUAACUAUAACGGUCCUAAGGUAGCGAAAUUCCUUGUCGGGUAAGUUCCGACCUGCACGAAUGGCGUAAUGAUGGCCAGGCUGUCUCCACCCGAGACUCAGUGAAAUUGAACUCGCUGUGAAGAUGCAGUGUACCCGCGGCAAGACGGAAAGACCCCGUGAACCUUUACUAUAGCUUGACACUGAACAUUGAGCCUUGAUGUGUAGGAUAGGUGGGAGGCUUUGAAGUGUGGACGCCAGUCUGCAUGGAGCCGGCCUUGAAAUACCACCCUUUAAUGUUUGAUGUUCUAACGUGGACCCGUUACCCGGGUUGCGGACAGUGUCUGGUGGGUAGUUUGACUGGGGCGGUCUCCUCCUAAAGAGUAACGGAGGAGCACGAAGGUUGGCUAAUCCUGGUCGGACAUCAGGAGGUUAGUGCAAUGGCAUAAGCCAGCUUGACUGCGAGCGUGACGGCGCGAGCAGGUGCGAAAGCAGGUCAUAGUGAUCCGGUGGUUCUGAAUGGAAGGGCCAUCGCUCAACGGAUAAAAGGUACUCCGGGGAUAACAGGCUGAUACCGCCCAAGAGUUCAUAUCGACGGCGGUGUUUGGCACCUCGAUGUCGGCUCAUCACAUCCUGGGGCUGAAGUAGGUCCCAAGGGUAUGGCUGUUCGCCAUUUAAAGUGGUACGCGAGCUGGGUUUAGAACGUCGUGAGACAGUUCGGUCCCUAUCUGCCGUGGGCGCUGGAGAACUGAGGGGGGCUGCUCCUAGUACGAGAGGACCGGAGUGGACGCAUCACUGGUGUUCGGGUUGUCAUGCCAAUGGCACUGCCCGGUAGCUAAAUGCGGAAGAGAUAAGUGCUGAAAGCAUCUAAGCACGAAACUUGCCCCGAGAUGAGUUCUCCCUGAGACUUAAAGUCUCCUGAAGGAACGUUGAAGACGACGACGUUGAUAGGCCGGGUGUGUAAGCGCAGCGAUGCGUUGAGCUAACCGGUACUAAUGAACCGUGAGGCUUAACCUU